UAGGGAAUCUUCGGCAAUGGACGGAAGUCUGACCGAGCAACGCCGCGUGAGUGAAGAAGGUUUUCGGAUCGUAAAGCUCUGUUGUAAGAGAAGAACGAGUGUGAGAGUGGAAAGUUCACACUGUGACGGUAUCUUACCAGAAAGGGACGGCUAACUACGUGCCAGCAGCCGCGGUAAUACGUAGGUCCCGAGCGUUGUCCGGAUUUAUUGGGCGUAAAGCGAGUGCAGGCGGUUAGAUAAGUCUGAAGUUAAAGGCUGUGGCUUAACCAUAGUACGCUUUGGAAACUGUUUAACUUGAGUGCAAGAGGGGAGAGUGGAAUUCCAUGUGUAGCGGUGAAAUGCGUAGAUAUAUGGAGGAACACCGGUGGCGAAAGCGGCUCUCUGGCUUGUAACUGACGCUGAGGCUCGAAAGCGUGGGGAGCAAACAGGAUUAGAUACCCUGGUAGUCCACGCCGUAAACGAUGAGUGCUAGGUGUUAGACCCUUUCCGGGGUUUAGUGCCGCAGCUAACGCAUUAAGCACUCCGCCUGGGGAGUACGACCGCAAGGUUG
rnacentral:rRNA from 1 species